GCCUGGCUGGCUCAGUCGGAAGAGCGUGUGACUCCUGAUCUUGGGGUUGUAGGUUCAAGCCCCACAUUAGGUG
rnacentral:tRNA from 1 species